rnacentral:rRNA from 1 species
AUUGAACGCUGGCGGCGGGCCUAACACAUGCAAGUCGAACGAGUGGAAGACGUGUGAGACAUGUAUGGGAAACUGCCUGAUGCGGGGGGAUAACUACUGGAAACGUUAGCUAAUCCCGCAUACCAUCGGAUGUGCCCAGAUGGGAUUAGCUAGUAGGUGGGGUAAAGGCUCACCUAGGCGACGAUCCCUAGCUGGUCUGAGAGGAUGACCAGCCACACUGGAACUGAGACACGGUCCAGACUCCUACGGGAGGCAGCAGUGGGGAAUAUUGCACAAUGGGCGCAAGCCUGAUGCAGCCAUGCCGCGUGUAUGAAGAAGGCCUUCGGGUUGUAAAGUACUUUCAGCGAGGAGGCGUUACCCGCAGAAGAAGCACCGGCUAACUCCGUGCCAGCAGCCGCGGUAAUAC